UACGAAGGGGGCUAGCGUUGCUCGGAAUCACUGGGCGUAAAGCGCACGUAGGCGGCUUACUAAGUCAGGGGUGAAAUCCUGGAGCUCAACUCCGGAACUGCCUUUGAUACUGGUGAGCUUGAGUCCGGAAGAGGUGAGUGGAACUGCGAGUGUAGAGGUGAAAUUCGUAGAUAUUCGCAAGAACACCAGUGGCGAAGGCGGCUCACUGGCCCGAUACUGACGCUGAGGCACGAAAGCGUGGGGAGCAAACAGG
rnacentral:rRNA from 1 species